AGUCGCCCAUGACCCCGCCUGCUCAUAACGGUCUGGUUGCAGGUUCGAGUCCUGCCGGGCCCACCA
rnacentral:tRNA from 1 species